CACUAUGGAGUAGUCUGUGAUUGGCCUUGGUUGGCGCAUGCGCAGUGGGAUAUACGGCAAAGUUGGGAAUUCGCCAUGAAGCUUUAUCAAAAGGUGUUGCGUACGGCUCGAGAGAGCACUGGAAAGUGAACUUUUGGAAUAGCGUUAAGGUCGCCCUUCAAGAAGUUGACGCCUGUGAAGCUAUUCUUUUUGAAUUGGAUCCACAGUGGGGGGGUGAAGAUGAUGUCCGACGCCAGCGAGAUGUUGGCAGCCGCCUUGGAGCAAAUGGAUGGGAUCAUAGCAGGCUCCAAGGCCAUGGACUACUCCAAUGGGCUGUUUGACUGCCAGUCGCCCACCUCUCCCUUCCUGGGAAGCCUGCGGGCGCUGCACCUGCUGGAGGACCUGCGGGCGGCGCUGGAGAUGAUGGACCAGGAUGAGAGGGAGGGCCUCCGCUGCCAGGUCCCUGACACCACCGCCGACGGCCUAGUGGAGUGGCUGCAGCAGGGACAACUGACCAACGGAAAUGGCUCCGCCAUGAUCUACCAGGAACGGCUGUCACGGGUGGAGAGCGAUAAGGAGUGUCUCGUCCUUCAGGUGAGUGUUCUCUCAGACCAGGUGGAGGUGCAGGGGGAGAAGAUCAGGGAUCUGGACAUGUGUCUGGAGGAACAUAGAGAGAAACUCGACGCCACUGAAGAAACUCUGCAGCAGGAGCUGUUGAGCAGGUCGACCCUGGAGACCCAGAAGCUGGAGCUGAUGACCGAGGUGUCCAGUCUGAAACUGAAGCUGACCACUGUGGCGAGAGAUCUCAGGGAUAGUGAGGGGUUGUACCAGGAAGUCAAUGACCUGCGGUUCAGGGUGACCGAUAUGGAGAAUGAAAGACUGCAGUGUGAGAAGAAACUUAAAUCCACCAAAGAGGAACUGCAGACUCUUCAGAGGCAGCUGGAGGAGCUGAGGAGGCUAAGAGACCAGGCUACACAGGGAGUGCUGACCUCAGACAGAACAGAUGGAGAGAAAGAUGUGGAUGUGCUGAGGAUGAAGAGGGCCAUGGAGUCCCUGACGUCAGCUAACAAUGACAAGGACCGGCGGAUCCAGGAGCUUCAGGAGUCUAUCACACGGUACAAGAAGGUCCAGGACUUGGUGAAAGACACACUGAAUGAAGACGAUUACGAUGACAUCCAGGAUGACAGAUCCCCCUCCAUUCAGGUCGCCAUGGAUACAGACCGGGCCACCCUGGCAGUUGGGGAGGAGACAGGAAGGAGCUGUGACGAGAUUCCAUCUAUUGCAGUGUUAUCAGAGCUGGAGCAGGAUAGCCUGAUACAGGAACCAGACAUAGACAGUCCACCAGAAGUCCCACCACAUUCAGCAGGUAGCCUGGGCCACAUAAACAGCAACACAGAGCAGACCACAGUUGAGGAGCCCAGCCCCCCAUCCACCUCCCCAUCAAACCCCAGCAGUAAUGAAAGCUUUGGGACCAAGAAGGCCCGCUCCUCCUUUGGACGUGGUUUCUUCAAGAUGCGUGGAGGCAAGAGGACGUCCAGUGCCCCAAAUCUGGAUCGCAGCCGGAGUGCGAGUGCGCCUACGUUGGCUGAGACAGAGUGUAGGGGCACAGACCACUUGGACUUGGCUGGUGCCCCGCCACACAAACCUCAGGGAGGAGACAGCAGCCAGACCCUACCUUCCUCACCAGAGGCCAAGAAGAAGUCCAGAGGCUUUAUGAAGUUCUUAGGCAGGCUGAAGAGAAGUCACUCCACCUCGCUAGACCUGGAGGAGACUGAGUUCAGGAGGGGAGGAGUCAGAGCCACGGCCGGCCCCCGACUGGGCUGGUCACGUGACCUGCAGCACAGCGCCGAUGAUGUGGACGCUCCCUUUGCGCAGUGGAGUAAGGAGCAGGUGUGUGUGUGGUUGCAGGAGCAGGGCCUGGGGCUGCACGUGGCUCAAGCCCAGCAGUGGAUCCGCUCAGGAUUCACCCUGCUGCAGGCCUCCCAGCAUGACCUGGAGAAGGAGUUGGGGAUCAAACAGCCCCUCCACAGGAAGAAGCUGCAGCUGGCUCUCCAGGCACUGGGAUCAGAGGAGGAUGUCAGCAAGGCCAAACUGGACCACAACUGGGUGACCAGAUGGCUUGAUGAUAUUGGUCUGCCACAGUAUAAGAGCCAGUUUGAUGAGGGGAGGGUCGAUGGACGAAUGCUACACUACAUGACUGUGGAUGACCUGCUGUCUCUUAAGGUGGGCAGUGUUCUCCACCACCUCAGCAUCAAGAGAGCCAUCCAGGUCCUCCGGCUCAACUUCUACGAGCCCAACUGCCUCCGCCGACGGCCCUCUGACGAGAACAACAUCACACCAGGGAGAUCUCCCAGUGGACCAAUCACAGAGUGAUGGAGUGGCUGAGAUCAGUGGACCUGGCUGAGUACGCGCCUAACCUGAGGGGCAGCGGUGUUCACGGGGGGGUCAUGGUGCUGGAGCCUCGCUUCAACGUGGAGUCCCUAGCCCUCCUGCUCAACAUCCCUCCCAACAAGACCCUGCUGCGCCGCCACCUGGCCACCCACUUCCACCUGCUCAUCGGCUCCGCUGCCCAGCGCAGCAAACAGGAGUGUCUGGAGAACCCUGACUACACCCUGCUCACUGCCACCGCCAAGGUCAAGCCCAGAAGGCUGCCGUUCGGUGGCUUCGGGACCCUGCGUAAGAAGCGCCAUGAGGACAGCGAGGAGUACGUGUGCCCCAUGGACGUGGAGAUGCCCAAGAACAGCAGCUUCCAGGGGGGCCUGAGGAUCUACGAGGACAACCUGGACCAGAUGGAGGACUCUGAAGGGGCUGUGAGGCAGAUAGGAGCAUUUUCUGAGGAAAUCGACAACCUGACGAGCAUGCUGAAGGAGGAUGAAUUCUUCAGCGAGGUCUCCUUUCGCUCCCCCGAGGCCAGCGUCACCGAUGACGACUCCAACGUGUGAGGGAGGGUUCCCGCCAAUUAAAUGUAUUAACUUUAGAUGACUGACAGGGGGUGCUGUUUUGCAGCCACCACACAGCCAUUUUGUUACUCCUCAAUUGUCAAAAACAAAUGUAGACAUUAAAUCAUUUCUACAGCUUCUAAAAUCAUUUUUUUACAAGUAUAUUCUAUUAGACACCUGUUAAUGCAUACUUUGAAAUGUGUAAAAAUACAAGGGAGUACUAAUGACUGUCCCCACAACAACAAAUAAAUGCAUGUCAUUUUGUCCUUUAAACAUUUGAAGUGCUGUAGAAUUCAAGUCAUUCCUAUGGAGGAGUGCUCCUUCUGAGGAGCACCAAUAUGGCUGACGGGUGGCUUCAAAGCCUCCCAUUGGCCGUUACAUAGCAUCAGCAAUCCAGGGUUAAUACACAUCAUUGGCCCCAGCUGGCGUCACCAUGCAACCCCCCUUUACACACACACACCUUGAUAAGCUGUCUUCUACAACCUGAGACCACCUAUGCCCUUACGUCGUUGUCGUUUCAGCAAUUUACUAUCUCUUGCUCUGCAUUCCCAAGUGAAGUUACACAUGUGUAUUUAUUUAAGUUGUUGAAAUGUAGCGCAUGACUUGAGAUUUCAACAUGGGAGCAUUUACUUUAUACUUCCAUACUUGUGUUACAGAACUGUUUUUCUAUAUAUUUGUUUGAAUAUUUACAUGGUAUGCCAUUGUCCUGACUUAUUUUUGGAACCCUCACACCUAUUAGCAAUUAUAACCUAAAAGAUUGGUCAAGUCGCAGUGGGACACUUAGACUGCAAUGUUUUGACUUUAAUCCCUAAUUUCCUCUCCAUGUUCUCAUUUGAUGCUCCUGUUUGUGUCCCAAAGUAAUUCAAUAUUAUCACGUUGGUUUGUCCUGCCAUGUGGAAUUUUAGGAACAUGGAAGCCCAAUGUUCUAGAAUGUAAACAUCACCAGAAAGCAAUGAUAUUGUUUUGCAAGCCUUAACCAUAUCAGUGAACACAAUGUAAUGUACUGUGUACUGUUUCUAUGCAUCUUUUUGUGAAUUGUCAAUAAAAACAUGGUAAAAUGA